GAGAGGCCAGAUGCUGAUGCCCUAGCUCCCGCUGGGGAGACUCCUGCUGCCUGCGACUGACCCGAGGACUGGCCAUACUUGCGGAGACUGGACGCCGACCAGAUGCUGGAAGAGCCCCUAAGCCGACCGGUACAAAGGGACCCCGAGGAGCUGCCCAGUUUACCCCUCGCUCAGUACCCCGAGGAGUCCCUGGUGUGGGACGCUGUGGAAGACGCCGCUGAGACACAGACUAUAUGAAACAAACCAGAAAAGAGCCAAGAGUUUUGUCACUUAUUGUUUGUCAUCAACAAUGAAGAGCAAGGCCAAUUAUUAUUAGCAGCCCUGCACAAAUCCUGGCUUCCAUUUGCCAUCGGUCCCCAUGGAAACUAGGCUGCUUACGGUGACUGUGAUCCAGUGCAAGAGGACACUCACAAUCACACACCAUGCCAUGCCUCCUGCUUCAUGAACCAUUCUGUUCGCUUGUUGUUCAUUUUGCAGGGGCGGGGGUGUAAA